UUUCCGUAGGUGAACCUGCGGAAGGAUCAUUACAGUGCCUGCGGGGCGUCGGCUAACCACCGGCGCCACCGCAACUGGCCACCCGUGUCUACCUUACCUCUGUUGCUUUGGCGGGCCCGUCCCCAGUGGACCGCCGGGGGAGCGUGCGUGCGCGCCCCUAGGACUUUCAGCGCAAGCGUACCCACGCCCGCUGGAAGGACUAGGUGCGCGCACGUACGCGCCCCGGGCCAGCGCCCGCCAAGGGACCCUCAGAAUUCCUGUGAAGCAGUGUCGUCUGAGUCGAUAUAUAAUCGAAAUAAAACUUUCAACAACGGAUCUCUUGGUUCCG
rnacentral:misc_RNA from 1 species